GUAAAUCGCAAAAAUAUUGUAUGGCGAAAAGCAUCUAAAGGCAUAUUUCUCGAAGAGGAAUGCAUAAUUUAAAAAAAAUAUUUGGUAUAGGGGUUGUAUACAAUGAUGAUCGGUUUGUUGCCUAUACCAAAUAUUUUUUCGGUAUAAGUUUUUCGUUUCGAGAAAUUUGAGUUUACAUGCUUUUCGCCAUACAAAAUAAAAUGAUUUUACUCCUGCUGACCAACAUUGAACGCACUCCCUGCGGGUUAUCCAUUACCAGCGGUGUAUGUUCUCUCGGUUCUCUCGUCGAGUCGCAUGGUUCACGAAGGAACACAAAGAAGAUACUUCGAUAGACAAGCUGUGGCGAUGAGCGGGCAUCGCUAAGUGUAACACUUACCGAUGAUCUCUCAUCGUUGGCUUGGGACAACUGUGAAUAAUCGUUAUUUUUAUCAGUAUUUAAUGCGUUGUCGCUUGAAAAACAUGAACUACUAUUUAAAUUAACUGUAUUCAUGACGCUGCAGGUUGUGUAGUCACAAUAAAAAAGAAUUAUGACAAUAAAAUAUGUCUACCGAAUGCAUCGCUUUCAUUAGCGUCAUCGAACAUCUUCUCUCUUGAUUGCGCUCUCGUAUCGAACCGGACAAGAGAAUGAACAGCAUUUCAAGGAGCGUUCUCGAGCAUGUCGGUUCACAAAAUGUUACAUUCGCGGAUGUAUCACUUGCUGAGUAUGGACCAUUCAGUGGUUCGCGAUAAAAAUUCACACACUGGCUUUAUUCGACAGAAUAGAAUGCCGCCUUAAAGAAACCAAGUGCAAAGAAAUGAAAUAGCUGUACCGUUAUUUAAGAUCCCGCAUUUCGAUCAACACCACAAAGGGACAAAGGCAUCGGAGAAAACGAUUACGUCAGUGCAGCAGAAGAAUCAACGCCCACGCUGACGGAAUUCGGAAACAAAGCAGCUGAACUCAAGGGCUCAUCUCAUCAGAGAAUUUGGCCACCUCCCUGCCUGCUAUAGAGUGCACCUCGGCUCUUUACUAACGGCUGACAACAACUUUAGUCCUGUUUACUAUGGACUCUAUGACUGAGAAUCUGAGACUUGGAACAUAUCCGACCGGCAGGCACUUGGAAUGUUCGAGCGACGAAUAUUCAGGAAGAUCAUUGGAGGUGUGUGGGAGAACAGUGCAUAGCGGCGAAAAAAAAGCACGGGCUCACUACAAUCUACGCCCCGCAUCCAGAAGAUAGAUGAAACCGGAAGGAUAUAGUAGGUAAGAGAUGUUGCAAAAAUGCUGGACUACGAAUUUGCUAAGUUGGUAUUUGACACAAAUCCGGUUGGUAUAAAAAGGUAAGCAACCAUUAAAAACAUGAUCUGGGGAGCAUUAAGCGCAAAAUAGGGAUGGAGAGCAGCAGAUGCGGACCGAGUAUUGUACCGUCAGUGUUUCAGUAGCCGCUUGUGUUCCAAGAGCCUACCGUUAUGAAAAUGGUGUUUAUUGGCAUGAACAUGUACGAUUUUCUUCAUUCGUAUAUUAUACGGCAUGCAUAUUUUAAAUAUCCGUGGAAAAAAUAUUGUAUAUUUGCAAAGAACCUUUUGCACCUAAGGAACCUGAUACACUAAGGGUUAUAUAAUUGAUUAUGGUUAUGCGAGGUAAAACAAUAAUAAAUGAGGGGCCCAGAAUCAAAGGGGUGUAAGUGACCAUUUUGUCGAUUUUGAGCUGAGCAUAUCAUAAAAUUCUCCAGAUUUCAAGCUUUCAUGAACUUUUUUAAGAUUGUUUCUACGAUGG